UUGGCCAACUGAAGUUACCAACUUCUGUC
rnacentral:piRNA from 1 species